AGAUUGCUGGCAAUGUGCCUGUUGUGGCGAGAAUAAGCAGAUUGUAAAGACGCCGUAAAAUCAUCCCUGAUGGCUCGAGCCGCGCCAUCCUUGGCGCGGACGCUUU
rnacentral:ncRNA from 1 species